UGUGUUAGUGGAAGCGUCUGGAAAGGCGCGCGAUACAGGGUGACAGCCCCGUACACAAAAGCGCAUGUGCUGUGAGCUCGAUGAGUAGGGCGGGACACGUGGUAUCCUGUCUGAAUAUGGGGGGACCAUCCUCCAAGGCUAAAUACUCCUGACUGACCGAUAGUGAACCAGUACCGUGAGGGAAAGGCGAAAAGAACCCCGGCGAGGGGAGUGAAAAAGAACCUGAAACCGUGUACGUACAAGCAGUGGGAGCACCCUUUGGGUGUGACUGCGUACCUUUUGUAUAAUGGGUCAGCGACUUAUAUUCUGUAGCAAGGUUAACCGAAUAGGGGAGCCGGAGGGAAACCGAGUCUUAACCGGGCGUUAAGUUGCAGGGUAUAGACCCGAAACCCGGUGAUCUAGCCAUGGGCAGGUUGAAGGUUGGGUAACACUAACUGGAGGACCGAACCGACUAAUGUUGAAAAAUUAGCGGAUGACCUGUGGCUGGGGGUGAAAGGCCAAUCAAACCGGGAGAUAGCUGGUUCUCCCCGAAAGCUAUUUAGGUAGCGCCUCGUGAAUUCAUCUCCGGGGGUAGAGCACUGUUUCGGCUAGGGGGCCAUCCCGGCUUACCAACCCGAUGCAAACUGCGAAUACCGGAGAAUGUUAUCACGGGAGACACACGGCGGGUGCUAACGUCCGUCGUGAAGAGGGAAACAACCCAGACCGCCAGCUAAGGUCCCAAAGUCAUGGUUAAGUGGGAAACGAUGUGGGAAGGCCCAGACAGCCAGGAUGUUGGCUUAGAAGCAGCCAUCAUUUAAAGAAAGCGUAAUAGCUCACUGGUCGAGUCGGCCUGCGCGGAAGAUGUAACGGGGCUAAACCAUGCACCGAAGCUGCGGCAGCGACACUGUGUGUUGUUGGGUAGGGGAGCGUUCUGUAAGCCUGUGAAGGUGUGUCGUGAGGCAUGCUGGAGGUAUCAGAAGUGCGAAUGCUGACAUAAGUAACGAUAAAGCGGGUGAAAAGCCCGCUCGCCGGAAGACCAAGGGUUCCUGUCCAACGUUAAUCGGGGCAGGGUGAGUCGACCCCUAAGGCGAGGCCGAAAGGCGUAGUCGAUGGGAAACGGGUUAAUAUUCCCGUACUUGGUGUUACUGCGAAGGGGGGACGGAGAAGGCUAUGUUGGCCGGGCGACGGUUGUCCCGGUUUAAGCGUGUAGGUGUGUGUUCCAGGUAAAUCCGGUUCACUUUAACACUGAGGCGUGACGACGAGGCACUACGGUGCUGAAGCAACAAAUGCCCUGCUUCCAGGAAAAGCCUCUAAGCAUCAGGUAACAUCAAAUCGUACCCCAAACCGACACAGGUGGUCAGGUAGAGAAUACCAAGGCGCUUGAGAGAACUCGGGUGAAGGAACUAGGCAAAAUGGUGCCGUAACUUCGGGAGAAGGCACGCUGACACGUAGGUGAAGUGAUUUACUCAUGGAGCUGAA
rnacentral:rRNA from 1 species